UCAUUAAAGAGUUCUAUAACUCCCAAACCCAUGUGAACAUACCUAACGUUGCCUCGGCAGGUCGCACCUACCUUGUAGCACCCUACCCUGUAGGGCCUACCCGGGAGGUGCGGGUAAGCCUGCCGGCGGCCCACCAAACUCUGUUUGAUAUUGAAUUCUGAACCUAUAACUAAAUAAGUUAAAACUUUCAACAACGGAUCUCUUGGUUCUGGCAUCGAUGAAGAACGCAGCGAAAUGCGAUAAGUAAUGUGAAUUGCAGAAUUCAGUGAAUCAUCGAAUCUUUGAACGCAUAUUGCGCCCAUUAGUAUUCUAGUGGGCAGGACCGUUCGAGCGUCAUUUCAACCCUUAAGCCUUCGUUGCUUAGUGUUGGGAGCCUACGGCAACGUAGCUCCUCAAAGUUAGUGGCGGAGUUGGUUCACACUCUAGACGUAGUAAUUUUUUAUCUCGCCUAUUAGUUGGACUAAUCCCCUGCCGUAAAACCCCCAAUUUAUCAAGGUUGACCUCGAAUCGGUUCAGACAAACUCGCUAAAUUGAAGCAUCUUAGUCAGCGAAGGAAAAGAAACCAACAGGGAUUGCCCUAGUAACGGCGAGUGAAGCGGCAACAGCUCAAAUUUGAAAUCUGGCCCUCGGGUC
rnacentral:rRNA from 1 species